rnacentral:rRNA from 1 species
CAUCCUCCAAGGCUAAAUACUCCUGACUGACCGAUAGUGAACCAGUACCGUGAGGGAAAGGCGAAAAGAACCCCGGCGAGGGGAGUGAAAAAGAACCUGAAACCGUGUACGUACAAGCAGUGGGAGCACAGGUUUACCUGUGUGACUGCGUACCUUUUGUAUAAUGGGUCAGCGACUUAUAUUCUGUAGCAAGGUUAACCGUAUAGGGGAGCCGGAGGGAAACCGAGUCUUAAUUGGGCGUUAAGUUGCAGGGUAUAGACCCGAAACCCGGUGAUCUAGCCAUGGGCAGGUUGAAGGUUGGGUAACACUAACUGGAGGACCGAACCGACUAAUGUUGAAAAAUUAGCGGAUGAUCUGUGGCUGGGGGUGAAAGGCCAAUCAAACCGGGAGAUAGCUGGUUCUCCCCGAAAGCUAUUUAGGUAGCGCCUCGUGAAUUCAUCUCCGGGGGUAGAGCACUGUUUCGGCUAGGGGGCCAUCCCGG